UACGUAGGGUGCGAGCGUUGUCCGGAAUUAUUGGGCGUAAAGAGCUUGUAGGCGGUCUGUCGCGUCUGCUGUGAAAACCCGCGGCUCAACCGCGGGCCUGCAGCCGAUACGGGCAGGCUAGAGUUCGGUAGGGGAGACUGGAAUUCCUGGUGUAGCGGUGAGAUGCGCAGAUAUCAGGAGGAACACCGGUGGCGAAGGCGGGUCUCUGGGCCGAUACUGACGCUGAGGAGCGAAAGCGUGGGGAGCGAACAGG
rnacentral:rRNA from 1 species